UGUGGGAGGGAAGAAGCGAGGAGCCUGCACAGUAAAUGGGCGUGGAGGUAUCACACUGAGUUUCACUCCGGGCUCUCCCUCCUGUCAUUCAACAACUUAUAUGGCACUGAGCUCUCACGGUGGACAGGUUGGCCUCGCAGCUAAUGUCUUUUGGACUCUAUAACGAUGACAGUGGCAGUGUUUGGAUGACCACGUGUGGGAAUCUUCACUAAAAAAAAUUCAUAUCUUAAGGAAGAAGCAGUCACCUAAAUGGAAAUAAGUUUUUAAGGAGAGAAGACACCUGCCUACCAACUCUGGAUAAUACAUUGGACGAACCGAGAAAUCACUUGUUUCACUGAGGAAGUGUGUUCAGAGCGAGAAGUGGAUUUGAAGCUUUUUAAAUUUGAUCAGAAAUGGCUAAUUCAUCUCGGAUGCACGAAAAUGAAGUUGAAGAGGUUCUACUGGAUUCCUUUCCAGGGACAGCUGAUGCACAAAAUAAUAACACUUGCUGUGAAAUAGCUGUUGAAAAGGAAGCUGCCGCCUGCUGCGAUGACAAGCACCACAGGAAACUGGCCAUCUGCAGCAUCAUCUGUGGGAUCUCCUGCAUUGGAAUCAAGGCUCUGAUAUAUUCAGUCAAGGCUGAGACUACAGAAGAUACUAGGAAAGCUGCAGGGUUUUCAAAAAAGGCAAAAAAAUUUAGCAUCAUCUCUAUUGUGACAUGGGUUGCCAUAGUGGUUUUGACUCCCAUGCUAAUGGCACUGAUGUCAUAUCUUUUCACUCUGAGCGACUGAUCGAAACCCCAGCAGAAGACAACCAGAGGACUGUGACAUAAGAUGCUUAUGGAGACAGAAAGCAGACAGUUAAAAAAAAAAACUGCUGACUACAAAAAAAACCAAAAAACAUAAAGACAUGAAACUGGAAGUUACAUGAAACAAAAAGACUGCUUUCGCCUCGGUGGUGUUGAUAAAAUGACCGCCCUCCCAGUUUACACUUUUCUACUUCCUCUUUAUCAUUUGUUUGUUUUUGUUUUACAUAAGGAACAACCACUUGAGAAAAUGUUAUCAAAAAUAUUACAACAUAAGUAUGUUUUUUUAUACACUGUAAUAUUUAUUUAACAAUAUAUGAACAUAUAGACAAUUUAAAAUCUAAAUGACCAUAGAAAAUCCAGCAUGAAAUAUAGUUUCAAGACAUGGCACUACAGGACACACAUACAUCAUAUAUUAAAGAUUAGAAUUAUCAUUCCUCAAUAAUGACCCAAUCCUUAAUAUUUUUGCUAUUACAAUUUGACAUACUCAUGUUUAGAUAUUGCAUGUACUUGCAGAUACUACAAAAGAUGAUACAUUUCUCUAUCUAAAAAGGUAGCAACGUAAACCUGGUCAUUAAGGAUUGGGUCUCUACUGUAAUACAAUGGGAUGGUAAUGCUUCAGACGAUUAUGAGAUCCUACACUUGUUGCCAACAUUUUCUUAGCCUUAUUGCAUUGUUACCAUAUUACUUUAUUGAUGUCAAAUGUAUCAAUAUGUUGAACUUUUAUACAUACAAAGAAAAUUUAUAAUAAAACGUCAAAAACU